UACGAAGGGGGCUAGCGUUGCUCGGAAUCACUGGGCGUAAAGCGCACGUAGGCGGCUUCUUAAGUCAGGGGUGAAAUCCUGGAGCUCAACUUCAGAACUGCCUUUGAUACUGAGGAGCUUGAGUCCGGGAGAGGCGCGUGGAAUUGCAGGUGUAGCGGUGAAAUGCGUAGAUAUCUGCAGGAACACCCGUGGCGAAAGCGGCGCGCUGGACCACUACUGACGCUGAGGAACGAAAGCUAGGGGAGCAAACAGG
rnacentral:rRNA from 1 species